CUCAUCCCCGAUUUCCCUCUCUCCUCCCGACCCGGCGGCCCCCUGCUUCCUCUCUCAUGGACCGCAAAGCUGCAGCAAAUCAGGGCCAGGGGAGCCGCCUCCGCCCCGCCUCGCCUCGAUUCCCUCCGCCAGAGUGCAAACAGCUGCCUCCCUCACCAGCUCCCGGUGCGAUCCCGUCGAUUCCCUCACCUUCAGCGGACUGGCCUGGCGAACGGCGGCUAGUCGGGAUCGGCGCAGGCUACGUGCCGGAUCAAACCUCCGUGGGGCGGCGGCGGCGGCGGAAGCCGGCCGUCUUCUCCUGCCACGCUGCAGUUUGCCCUUCUACUCCAGAGGGACGGAUGUGAUGCUAACAUGGGAGGGCGAGUUUGACUUCAACUUCGGCUUUUCUUCUUCCACACACAUAUGUGGGGAGCAAGGUGGUAAGGAAACUAGAGCCGAUCUCUCAGCACCGCUGCAGUAGAUGGGCACACCGGGGAAGGAGAGUGAGCUGCAGGGAGAGAUGCGCAUCUUGGAGAUCCGCCAAAAGUUAGGAAACUCAUGUGAAAGAUUUUUGUUUUCUACUCUUAAUCCUGCUUGCACUUGCUUGAUAGUCCAAGUAAUAUGGUUUCUUAGGGGGCUACGAAGUACAAAUAUAUGGAAACUGAAUGUUAAGGUGAGAUGGUCGUCAAAACCAACAUGGCUACAUGUCAAAUAGCAAGUACUCUGUAUCAUAUUUAACAUGACUACAUGUAAAAUAUAAGUGGUUCUUUCCGAGGAGGAAUAGAAAGAAAAUAUAAUAGUCUCGGUUCCUUCUAUUGUAGUUGAUAUUUUUUCAGAUCAAUUGUUCAAUACUCUUUGUAGAUGCCAUUUUGUUGAUUGACUGUAUGUUAUAUAAUGCCAUAGCUUCUUUCAGUGGCAGAGCUUCAGCCCGGUAUGUCUGGGCAGCUUCCCGCACUCUGCCUAGAAUCCCUUGCCGAAGGUUCAGCUGCUAAUGAGAAUUAAUCAACUCUUCCUAUGGGAAAAUGCCGUCAGCCAGGAGCGUUCGUCCUCUGCCCAGGAGAAAGACAAUUCCACACACUGGUAGUUCAUCUGAGAAAGGCUUGCGCUCACAGAAGGAUGGUAGACUCGGGUUUGAAAGGCAUUUCUCAAUUGUAUUUGCAAACUGUGUCUAUAUUGGAGAUAUUUGCAAGAGAGCCAACAUGGUUCAGGUUCUGGUAGCUCUCAGCCAGACCCAUUCCAGAACAAAGAAUACAAGAUUUAGCAGCUGGAAUGUUCAGGCAAGACCAAACAUUGUUCGUUCGUAUUUCAUAGAUUAAUAUUUUGUUCUUUCAAGGUGAGGUGAAUUACCAGGCGCUGUGUCAUCUAGAUCAAAAAAGUUCAUAUAUUAUCCAUUUCCUUUUUUUGCAAUAGAUACAGAAACUUAGGGUUUUCCUCCUGUGUGUUACAGAACAGAAGUUGCAGACAACUAUAAAAGCUUGGUGUUAUGGUAGGAGCUACCAAACUUAGAGCCACGCCCUCCAAGUCCAAAAAGCUUUUGUAUCUAUCGCUAUUCAAGGACCCAACGGAUUGUAAGAGAAUUGGAAUUGAAUGGUGUUUAUUUUGCUCUGCUUUGCUUAAUGUCAUUUAGUGUUGCAUUUGAA